UAAAAGUUAGGAGCUCAUGCGCUAGGGCUAAGAAUAAAAAAAAGGAGAAGGGCGUGGGCCCCCCCUCCCCCCUCUUAUGAUAUUCCUUAUGUGCCGUAUUCUCUCCUUCUCUCCAAUGAUCCAGCCGUGAACCCCCCCCCCCCCUUCAGCCUCCUUGGAGCUGCAAGAAAAAAAAAGGAGGAGAAGAAAGAUAGGUGGCAGGUGACCCAUCUUUUCUCUCUUGGGCCCGCUUGACAAUCCCCUCCUUUGGAAGUACGUGGGAUUUUUCUCCUCCCUUUUGUGCCGUGAACCCAUCUCUCCCUCUUGGGUUUCAGCCACCAGCAAGCAAAGAAAAGGAAGGAGGCAUGCAGCCCUUCCUCCCUCUCUUCUUUUGGUUCCAAAAGAAAAGGAAAAGGAAAAGGCUGCAAAGGGGUUUUGCCUUCUUCCUUUUGAUCUAUCCUUCUUCCUCCUCUCUAAGGCAAUCAAGAGUUGAUUCAAAAGAGANN
rnacentral:lncRNA from 1 species